rnacentral:rRNA from 1 species
AUUGAACGCUGCGGCAGGCCUAACACAUGCAAGUCGAGCGAGCGGCGGACGGGUGAGUAAUGCUUAGUAAUCUGCCUAUUAGUGGGGGACAACAUAUCGAAAGGGAUGCUAAUACCGCCUACUAAUAGAUGAGCCUAAUUGGAUUAGCGAGUUGGUGGGGUAAAGGCCUACCAAGGCGACUAUCUGUAGCGGGUCGGAGAGGAUGUUCCGCCACACUGGUACUGAGACACGGCCCAGACUCCUACGGGAGGCAGCAGUGGGGAAUAUGCACAAUGGUCGCAAGCCGGAUGCAGCCAUGCCGCGUGUGUGAAGAAGGCCUUCGGGUUGUAAAGCACUUUCAGCGGGGAGGCGUUACCCGCAGAAGAAGCACCGGCUAACUCCGUGCCAGCAGCCGCGGUAAUUC